AUGAAAACGUUGAAGAGGAAGAGUACUAAUAGUUGUUGUUUGAGAGAUGUCAUGGCUGGUGAAAAUGACGCAAUGCUGUUUGGAAAACUACCUUGGAAGUGACAUACGAGUAGCACGAGUGAAAGUAUGACCGGAGUCAUUGGUCGUUAACCUGAUGAAAGAGUUGAGAUGAAGCACAGCUAAUAAGGAAGUAAUUAUUUUUACUUGGCUUUAUUUUGAACUAUUCAUGAGGUGGUACCGUGCAAAAAGCGCCCUUAGA
rnacentral:ncRNA from 1 species